CAUGCAAGUCGAGCGGCAAGUCGGGUAGCAAUACUUGACCUAGAGCGGCGCACGGGUGCGUUACGCGUAUGCAACUUACCUUAUACUGUGGGAUAGCCCGGAGAAAUCCGGAUUAAUACCGCAUGUUAUUGAGAGAUGGCAUCAUCACUCAAUUAAAGAUUUAUCGGUAUAAGAUGGGCAUGCGUAGGAUUAGCUAGUUGGUAGGGUAACGGCUUACCAAGGCUACGAUCCUUAGGGGUUCUGAGAGGAAGGUCCCCCACACUGGCACUGAGAUACGGGCCAGACUCCUACGGGAGGCAGCAGUAGGGAAUAUUGGGCAAUGGUCGGAAGACUGACCCAGCCAUGCCGCGUGCAGGAAGAAGGCCCUCUGGGUUGUAAACUGCUUUUAUCUGGGAAGAAAAGGCCCAUGCGGGGGAAAUUGCCGGUACCUGAUGAAUAAGCACCGGCGUAACAUCCGUG
rnacentral:rRNA from 1 species